GACGAAAUCCGGGGCAGGAUGCUCGA
rnacentral:sRNA from 1 species